UACGUAGGCAGCAAGCGUUGUUCGGAGUUACUGGGCGUAAAGGGUGUGUAGGCGGUUCUCUAAGUCUGGUGUGAAAUCUCCCGGCUCAACUGGGAGGGUGCGCCGAAAACUGGAGGACUAGAGUGUGGGAUGGGAGAGUGGAAUUCCUGGUGUAGCGGUGAAAUGCGUAGAGAUGUGGAGGAACACCAGUGGCGAAGGCGACUCUUUUGGCCUGGUAACUGACGCUGAGGCGCGAAAAGCGUGGGGAGCAAACAGGG
rnacentral:rRNA from 1 species